rnacentral:rRNA from 1 species
AGGACGAACGCUGGCGGCGUGCUUAACGACAUGCAAGUCGAACGAGGUCCAACCGGUGGCAACACUGGUGAAGACCGAGUGGCGAACGGGUGAGUAACACGUGAGCAACCUGCCCCGAAGACCGGGAUACCACCGGGAAACCGGUGCUAAUACCGGAUAUCCCUACCGGGCCGCAUGACCUGGUAAGGAAAUGGAUUCCGCUUCGGGAGGGGCUCGCGACCUAUCAGCUUGUAGGUGGGGUAAUGGCCUACCUAGGCUCCGACGGGUAGCUGGUCUGAGAGGACGAUCAGCCACACUGGGACUGAGACACGGCCCAGACUCCUACGGGAGGCAGCAGUGGGGAAUCUUGCGCAAUGGGCGAAAGCCUGACGCAGCAACGCCGCGUGAGGGACGAAGGGCCUUCUGGGUUGUAAACCCUCUUUCAGCAGGGACGAUGAUGACGGUACCUGCAGAAGAACGCCCCGGCCAACUACGCGCCAGCAGCCGCGGUAA